UUACGGCCAUAUCACGUUGACACACCGGUUCUCGUAUGAACACCGAAGAUAAGUAAUGUCCAGCCUGGUCAGUACCUAGAUGAGUGACCGCUUGGAAAUGUCAGGUACUUGCAA